UGCAGCCGCGGUAAUUCCAGCUCCAAUAGCGUAUAUUAAAGUUGCUGCAGUUAAAAAGCUCGUAGUUGGAUCUCGGUAGCACUGAGGCCUGUCGUUGGUGUGCAGUAUGGCUAUUGAUGCAUGGGCGCUGCCUGUGUCGUCGUGGUCGGCUGUUGCAACUCGGCAUGGCGUUGGUGUCGCCUUUCAGCCAUGUCUGUGGUGCAAUACCCACAGGUGUAGGCGAGUGUCAGGCGGUGCUUUGCGACAGCAAGGUCCGUCGGCUCGUUUGCAUGCCUUCGGAUGCCCUUCAAAAGGUGUCCGCGGGCGGAUGGCACGUUUACUUUGAACAAAUUUGAGUGCUCAAACCAGGCCGCAGUUGCCUGAAAAGUUUUGCAUGGAAUAAUGGAAUAGGACUUCGGUUCUAUUUUGUUNGUUUUCGGAUCCGAAGUAAUGAUCAAAAGGGA
rnacentral:rRNA from 1 species